rnacentral:tRNA from 1 species
GGCCCGUUGGUCAAGUGGUUAAGACACCGCCCUUUCACGGCGGUAACACGGGUUCGAAUCCCGUACGGGUCACC